rnacentral:lncRNA from 1 species
CCCAAAUGUUUGACUCAUUCACGACAGGAGCUAUAGCGGAAGUGGAGGUGCCAUCGAACGGGGGCACCAAGGUAGAUAUGAAGUCCCUCAGUCUGGCAAACUCCUCGUUCAUGUGCUGAAUGAUUUCAAGCUUCACGGUCCGCAACCUCAUCUAGAUGAGGAUGUGCUGGUCCAACAACAUGCCCUCCACGUCCUCAUGUCACAGUCGGUCCACCACGCGUACCCUGCAGCCCAGAUGUGGACGGGUAACCAUUGGAGUGGGUAAUACACCUGACUACCGUCCCAAGGCAUCCUCGUCGUCCUCAGUGUCACCAGCACCGGUCUCGUUGGAGGUGUCGCGACUGCUGUCUUCG